UUGCCUUUGCCUCCCUAUAUUUUGACAAUUUUGCAUUUUUGUUUUCUGCAGCACAUGCCUGGAGAUUUAGAGGUAUUUUAUAUGUGUAUUAUUGUUAAACUACUGGAAGAGUUUGUCUGUAUGGAGAGUUGUAACAGGUUUUUUUUUUUUUUCUCCCCACAGAGCUGGGGGUUAUCCACAGAGCAGAUAUCUUCUAGAUACUCUUUACCACAUCACUGAGUGCUCGGAAAAACAGGAAGCUUGCACAGGGAGAGGAGGACUUUGAGGUCUUCACCUUCAGACAAUCUUGUGUGCCCUCCUGCCUUUGGUCCCCUUAUAUAGAAUGUGGUCAUUUUGAUAUGACUGAAGUCACAGAACUGUUGAUCAUCCCAACAGCAAGGCUCCAUUCACAUCUGUGUUUACACAAAGUAUCACCUCAGAAGUUUCAUUUUGUCACAUCAUCCAACUGAUCUGGAAAUACUGAUGAUGCAGUGAGGCCAUAACUAUGUUAAAUUAAUACACUGUUGUUCUCUGGCAUUUGUGAAUAGUCUGGCAUUAAAAUAUAAACUUAUUAUGUCU